rnacentral:tRNA from 1 species
GCGGAUAUGAAUUAAUGGCUAAAUUAUCUGCCUUCCAAGCAGACUAUAUGGGUUCGAGUCCCAUUAUCCGCA